rnacentral:lncRNA from 1 species
CUAAGCUGUUUGACAACGCUUUGAUCCAUGCUAGGUUAACUUAAGCCGCAAGCCUAUGUUGUGCAAGUAAUUAAAUGUUGCAGCCUCGUUGCUUUGCACUAUCUACCAGGAAAAAAAACUGUCCACAAUUGUUCCCGGUAGAAUCAAAAUCACCGCCCAAUUCUUCACCAUAACUUUCCAUAGAAAGCAGCUUGACUCUAUUAGCAUGUUCAAUUAACUAAUCACUGAAUCCUGGAGAAGAAGUGAGUCCGUUAUUCCUUCGCUCGUCGUUUCUUGUACAAAAUCUCCGUUCUUCCUUUAACUUAUUCUGCGUCAUGUGGUACGUAGAAUAGUAAUCCAGCCUUUCAAAUGUCAAUUGGUUUUCUCCAGCAAAUUCGUGUCCUUGUGGUAUGUAGAAUAGUAAUCAUGCCUUUCAAUUGGUAUUCUCCGGCCAACCAAAGACUGACAUCACAUGUUUUUUACACAUGUGGUUAUGCCACAAAAAAUCAAUCAUAAGAUGAACUAUGGAGACUUUCCCUUAUACAAAC